rnacentral:rRNA from 1 species
UACGUAGGGGUCGAGCGUUGUCCGGAGUUACUGGGCGUAAAGCGUGCGCAGGCGGCGCAUCGCGCCCGGCGUGAAAUCCCCGGGCUCAACCUGGGAAUGGCGAUGGAUACUGGGCAGCUAGAGUGUGUCAGAGGAUGGUGGAAUUCCCGGUGUAGCGGUGAAAUGCGUAGAGAUCGGGAGGAACAUCAGUGGCGAAGGCGGCCAUCUGGGACAACACUGACGCUGAAGCACGAAAGCGUGGGGAGCAAGCAGG